rnacentral:lncRNA from 1 species
GCUUUUAUAUGAGCGUCUAAAAGUACUCAAUUCCAGAGGACAAUUUAAGAAUAAAAAAAAAUCGAAAACAUCGAAAAAUCAAAUGCACAAGUAAGACAAAGAACCUCAUGUACAAAGCUGCUUGUCAGCUACAUUGUAGAUGGAAUAAAUAUCAUCGACGACACUAAUAAUAUGGUACACUAGCUGAACGCACGUUCCGACUAUACACGAUUUUUUG